rnacentral:lncRNA from 1 species
CCCCUGUAAUAAUAUUGCUCUGCCAGCCCAAUACACGAGAGGGGGACUAUAUAAGAGUCAAUGAAGCUGUCACUAUCACGAACUACCCCGCGAUCUAGCAUAUUGGGUACAAUCGUAGAUAAAUACGGUAUAAGCACCACGCCUACACAAUAUCUAUCAUUUACCCAUGGAUCCGAUGGAUAAACGCUAUACGAUCCUAAGCAUGU